UUACACAUGCAAGUCGAACGGAAAGGCCCUUCGGGGUACUCGAGUGGCGAACGGGUGAGUAACACGUGGGUGAUCUGCCCUGCACUUCGGGAUAAGCCUGGGAAACUGGGUCUAAUACCGGAUAUGACUACGGAUCGCAUGGUCUGUGGUGGAAAGCUUUUGCGGUGUGGGAUGGGCCCGCGGCCUAUCAGCUUGUUGGUGGGGUUAAGGCCUACCAAGGCGACGACGGGUAGCCGGCCUGAGAGGGUGACCGGCCACACUGGGACUGAGAUACGGCCCAGACUCCUACGGGAGGCAGCAGUGGGGAAUAUUGCACAAUGGGCGCAAGCCUGAUGCAGCGACGCCGCGUGAGGGACGACGGCCUUCGGGUUGUAAACCUCUUUCAGCACAGACGAAGCGCAAGUGACGGUAUGUGCAGAAGAAGGACCGGCCAACUACGUGCCAGCAGCCGCGGUAAUACGUAGGGUCCGAGCGUUGUCCGGAAUUACUGGGCGUAAAGAGCUCGUAGGUGGUUUGUCGCGUUGUUCGUGAAAACUCACAGCUCAACUGUGGGCGUGCGGGCGAUACGGGCAGACUGGAGUACUGCAGGGGAGACUGGAAUUCCUGGUGUAGCGGUGGAAUGCGCAGAUAUCAGGAGGAACNNCGGUGGCGAAGGCGGGUCUCUGGGCAGUAACUGACGCUGAGGAGCGAAAGCGUGGGGAGCGAACAGGAUUAGAUACCCUGGUAGUCCACGCCGUAAACGGUGGGUACUAGGUGUGGGUUUCCUUCCUUGGGAUCCGUGCCGUAGCUAACGCAUUAAGUACCCCGCCUGGGGAGUACNGNNGCAAGGNUAAAACUCAAAGAAAUUGACGGGGGCNCGCACAAGCGGCGGAGCAUGUGGNUUAAUUCGAUGCAACGCGAAGAACCUUACCUGGGUUUGACAUGCACAGGACGUG
rnacentral:rRNA from 1 species